rnacentral:rRNA from 1 species
UGGGGAAUAUUGCACAAUGGGCGAAAGCCUGAUGCAGCAACGCCGCGUGAGUGAUGAAGGUCUUCGGAUUGUAAAGCUCUGUCUUUUGGGACGAUAAUGACGGUACCAAAGGAGGAAGCCACGGCUAACUACGUGCCAGCAGCCGCGGUAAUACGUAGGUGGCGAGCGUUGUCCGGAUUUACUGGGCGUAAAGGGUGCGUAGGCGGAUGUUUAAGUGAGAUGUGAAAUACCCGGGCUUAACUUGGGUGCUGCAUUUCAAACUGGAUAUCUAGAGUGCAGGAGAGGAGAAUGGAAUUCCUAGUGUAGCGGUGAAAUGCGUAGAGAUUAGGAAGAACACCAGUGGCGAAGGCGAUUCUCUGGACUGUAACUGACGCUGAGGCACGAAAGCGUGGGUAGCAAACAGGAUUAGAUACCCUGGUAGUCCACGCCGUAAACGAUGAGUACUAGGUGUAGGAGGUAUCGACCCCUUCUGUGCCGCAGUAAACACAUUAAGUACUCCGCCUGGGGAAGUACGAUCGCAAGAUUAAAACUCUAAAGUGAAUUGAC